ensembl:lncRNA
CUUCAUCCCUUUUCAGAUGGGAGCCAACAGCUCAGUGCUCACUGAUUUAAAGUUAGACACAUCUCGGGGGAAAAGCAUAAGAAAGAGCAACUCCAGUAGUGUCACCAAUAACCCUGUUUUGCCCAAGAUGGACAGGGUUCCUGGGAAGUGGGACUCUCAAUGCUGAGACCAGGGAGGUCUGGAUGUGCCAAGCUGAGCUGCCACUCCAUAACCAUGCCUGGCAACAGCCUUGUGGGAAUACGGAGGAGGAAGCUGGCCCAAAGAGCCCAGUAACUGCACCGUACUCAGCACAAUGCCCGGCACACCAUUCUAACAGCAGCAGCUAAAACUCAGAACAUCCUACCAGAUGCGUGUUGUACACCAGAUACUGUUGUCAGCACUGUGGACAAAACAGAUGAGCAGUCCUGUCCUGAUGGAGCUGCUGCUUUAGCAAUGGGAAAGAAAAAUCAAAGAAAAACGACAUGAGCGAAACACGUAGCAUGUCAGAUGGCUGUAGGUGCUGUGAAGACAAAUAAGGUUACAGAGGCGCCGCUGAGGGAAGAAACAUUUUACCAGCUCUGAAGUUUCUGUCUGGGUGAAAGAGAAGGACUGGCCUGGCUUUCCCAUCUACUCCAGUCUCUUGAAGUCACACUGGCCCCUCUUACUGGCCAGUUUGUAUUUCAUUCCAGCACAGUGCAGGGGAAACAACGUGGAGUUUGGAAUCCAGCGGACUGGGUCUGAAUCUCACCAUGAACCCUGGCUAACCAUGAGAGCAAUCAGAGCUGAGCAGCUAAUAUGUUGUUGUGGCAAGCGGUGCAGGUGUGCUGGGAGCCACGUCUUCUUAUUAGAGCCUCUUUGUCACCUGGUGUCAGAAGCUGAAGGUCAUCAAAAUGUGGGCCACCUCUAAAUCACUGUGCCGCCAACAUAACUCCUACCACCGAGCAGACUGUCUUCAGCCACUGGAGCCCAAAAUAGAACCUAAUGGAUUUAGGAAGCAAUCAAUGCUGUCAGUGCUUCUGAAGACAUUUGUGGGUUGUAGCCUAUAAAAUAUUAAUUCUUUCUAUUUGUCUUUAAGAAUAUAUUUUAUGUGUUAAUGCAUUAUUGAAAGAUGCUUUAAUGUUAAGUGACUUUUUAAGACCCAAGAUUCAAACAGCUAAGUUUAUUUUUCUUUAGGAUAUUAAUGUAAAAUAUAAAGACAAAAGCAGAUCCCACUGACCGUACCAGUAGCCAUGCAUUGACAAGCAGGAAAUCAAACUGUAAAAUUCAAGUUGUUUUAUUCAUGUUUUGAUGGGCAAAUAAAUAACUUAUGUAUAGCAUUUCCCAUCUAAUGAAAUGUUUUACUGUUGGAUUUAUUGGGCACAUUUAUGAAAUCACAACUGUGCAGCUCUGCUUUAUUUGGCCUUAAUGACAUGAAGGCCAGGGAGGACUGUGGAUCUUCAGUGUCCAGAGUGAAGUGUGGACGGAGGAGGUAUCGCAAAUCAAAGGGUAAUCGGGAAGACACACAGAAAAUCGUUGAAGACUGACUCAGAAUUCAUCUUCUACUCAAGGACCACUGUGUAUACAUUUGUCUCCUUCCAUGCAUGAACACUGUAUACUGGUACAAAAGUACACAGUAUAUUUCUUGUUUUAUUUCACAGAAAAUGAAGUUCUACAAGGCAUGAUUUACUGCACUUUUAGGGGCCACAAACCACUUAAAUUUCCUGUGACUGUGGUGCCACACUGAAGAAGCAUGUCCACAUGCACACGAAGUUCUUCCUGUGGUUUCUGAGGGUCCUUUCCUCCCUGUGUGAGACAGCUGGGCUCCGGUCUAGUCCGGUGGUCUUGCUUUUCAUCCAAGAUUCUGAGGUUUAAAGGAGUGAUGACCCUGCCAGUGUCACUCAGUUCCUGAUACCUCAUCCCAAUACCCCCUCUCUACACAGUAAGCAGGUGCCAGCAAGGUGGCCAGCAGUGUGGGCUCCUGAGCUCAAAUCCAGAUUUGCUACUCACUGGCCUUGAGCAACUUACUUAGCUUUGUGUGCCAAAAUGUCUUUGUGUAUUUCCUUCACUGUCUGCUUCUUUUUCCCCCUCAUUGCACUCAUAAUGUAAUUCAUAAAACAUUUAAAUAUUCUGGCUGUUCUUUGUUGUUUGUUUUUUGUUUUUAGCUUAUUUGAGGGUGAAUAACUACUGCUUUAUUCUCAGUGUCCAGAACAGCUCCUGGCACACGGUAAGCAACCCAUAGACAGUUACUAGAUAGCUGUAGUGUGGUCUGCCAUGGGCACCCAUGUGAUAUAGCAGCUUGCUGCAAGCAUCAUUCACUCUAGUCGGGUCCAUCUCUCACACAGUGCCUGCCACACUGGAUGUCCUCAGCAAGCACUUGCUAAUUGAAUGCAUGAGAACAUAUAUGAUGCAGUUCAGAG